rnacentral:rRNA from 1 species
AUUGAACGCUGGCGGCAUGCCUUACACAUGCAAGUCGAACGGCAGCACGGGAGCAAUCCUGGUGGCGAGUGGCGAACGGGUGAGUAAUAUAUCGGAACGUGCCCAGUCGUGGGGGAUAACGUAGCGAAAGCUACGCUAAUACCGCAUACUAUCUAUGGAUGAAAGCGGGGGAUCGCAAGACCUCGCGCGAUUGGAGCGGCCGAUAUCAGAUUAGGUAGUUGGUGAGGUAAAGGCUCACCAAGCCGACGAUCUGUAGCUGGUCUGAGAGACGACCAGCCACACUGGGACUGAGACACGGCCCAGACUCCUACGGGAGGCAGCAGUGGGGAA